rnacentral:rRNA from 1 species
CCUACGGGAGGCAGCAGUGGGGGAUAUUGCACAAUGGGGGAAACCCUGAUGCAGCGACGCCGCGUGUGGGAAGACGGUCCUCUGGAUUGUAAACCACUGUCCCCAGGGACGAAGAUGACGGUACCUGGGGAGGAAGCUCCGGCUAACUACGUGCCAGCAGCCGCGGUAAUACGUGGGGAGCGAGCGUUGUCCGGAAUUACUGGGUGAAAAGGGAGCGUAGGCGGGACUGCAAGUUGGGUGUAAAAUCUACCGGCUCAACCGGUAGCCGCACUCAAAACUGCAGGUCUUGAGUGAAGUAGAGGCAGGCGGAAUUCCUAGUGUAGCGGUGAAAUGCGUAGAUAUUAGGAGGAACACCAGUGGCGAAGGCGGCCUGCUGGGCUUUUACUGACGCUGAGGCUCGAAAGUGUGGGGAGCAAACAGGAUUAGAUACCCGGGUAGUC